UCCUCCGGAAGUGUGGCACCCAGAGGCGGUCCUGUAGCUGGGCCGGCUUGGGGCUUGGUUCUAUGUCCCUGUGGGUUGGUGCAAGGGCCAGGAGGAACCCGUGAGCCUCAGGGGAUCCCAGGGGGCCGGACCAGUGUUCCCUAGUUGUGGGAACAGACGCGUGGGCGCAUCGCGGGAGGGCAGGGCCUGAAGAGCAGUAUGUUUCCAGUGUCCUCUGGGUGUUUCCAAGAGCAACAAGAAACGAAUAAAUCUCUGAGUUUUAGCCAAUUCAGAGGCCUUGCUCCCUACAAUUUGGAACAUUCCUUUGGAUUUGACCAAGUCAGGAAGAGAUGGGAGAAAAGUGAAACAACAACAAUAAAACCCCAAGCAUAAACAAACAAAGAGUUAAGCAAAACAACAAAUGCACAAUUCAUAUGAUUACUGAGUGUUCUAAUGGUAAGGAGAAAUUAAAAGCAGAAAUUAAAAGCAGCUGGUGAGUAAUCUUAAAUUUUAUUCAUUAAGGAAAAAUUUUAAGACAAAACUCUAAUUCAGCUACUUACCUGGAAAUAAGGCUCAGGC
rnacentral:lncRNA from 1 species